CCUAGGGGCGGCAGCAGUGGGGAAUAUUGGACAAUGGGGGGAACCCUGAUCCAGCCAUGCCGCGUGUGUGAAGAAGGCCCUCGGGUUGUAAAGCACUUUCAGUGAGGAAGAACGCCUGGUGGUUAAUACCCAUCAGGAAAGACAUCACUCACAGAAGAAGCACCGGCUAACUCCGUGCCAGCAGCCGCGGUAAUACGGAGGGUGCGAGCGUUAAUCGGAAUUACUGGGCGUAAAGCGCGCGUAGGUGGCUUGAUAAGCCGGUUGUGAAAGCCCCGGGCUCAACCUGGGAACGGCAUCCGGAACUGUCAAGCUAGAGUGCAGGAGAGGAAGGUAGAAUUCCCGGUGUAGCGGUGAAAUGCGUAGAGAUCGGGAGGAAUACCAGUGGCGAAGGCGGCCUUCUGGACUGACACUGACACUGAGGUGCGAAAGCGUGGGUAGCAAACAGGAUUAGAUACCCUUGUAGUC
rnacentral:rRNA from 1 species